ensembl:ncRNA lncRNA:CR45711 long non-coding RNA:CR45711
AGGUGCAGGACAUCAGGACGAAAUGUGGGACACCAGAGGAGCGCUCUGACAACAGCACUUGAGCAGUCCGCGUCUGCCCGCGCCACCCCACUCCUCCCGCUGCUGUUAUCUCAGCUUGGACUCGGUCCAAGGACACUGGAUCCGCAGGACUCCGGACUGGCGGAAGGAGUCGUUCGGUUUGAGCACUGCGGUUCGUAGGCAUUACUUGUUUGCGGUUUUUAUUAUAUCAUUCUCGUGUCAAACGGGCUCAGCAUUGUCACAUCCUUAGCCGCUGCUGACGAUGAUGAUGCUGCUGCUCUGCCAGCUCAGCGUCCUGUCAUUCCAGAUCUCACCCAUUGCCGCCACCCCCAUCCGCAUCCACAUCGGCUCCGCUCGCUCUUCAAUGCCCAAUCCUCAAUCCCCAUCUAAGUCGCACGGUUCGCUCUUGUCCUUCAUCUCAAGCUGCCAGUUAUUACACAUUGCCAGCGUCUUAAUGUCGGGAUUCUCGGACGGGGACUUCAAGCAGCAUUUUCUGGUGAUGAGCCAGUUGGAGCCGGGCAGCUCGACCCGAGUCCUGCGCCCAAAACUCGCCAACAGGUGGCGGGCCUGGCUCAAGUGGAUCUGUGGGAAGCGAUGGGCUAGGGGAUGCCUUUUGUUU